UUGAAGCAUACGCAAGGAGCAUUGUUUCUGUGCAUUGUCUAAGUAAGAUCAUUUAGGCAGCGGUAAACAGAGAAAGGGAAAUAACAUUUGGGAUGGAGACAAACCAGCACUCGUCUGUCUGUUCGCUUGCUUUCCUACCUGGUAUCUUUGCAAGCUACGCUUUGCACAAAGCCCUGGGGAGGUGAUCUACUUAAGGAAACAUUCACAUCUGACAUCGCCCCACAUUUAUAGAAAGUCAAUUUCCUUUAUUCAUCUUCCAGGUCUCUCUUAGCUUUUGACCUUCUUUUCUUGUGUCUCCACCCCACAUUUCUUCUUUCCCUGCCACUCAGGGCAGUAGAUGCUAUGGCUGUACUGGCUGGUUCUGUGUGUCAACUUGACUUACUUUAAGAGUCAUCGGAGAGGAAGGAGCCUCAGUUGAGAAAAUGCCUCCAUGAGAUCCAGCUGUAAGACAUUUUCUCAAUUAGUGAUUGAGGUGGGAGAACACAAGCUGAGCAAGCCAUGCGAAGCAAGCCAGUUAGCAGCAGCUCUCCAUCACCUCUGCAUCGGCUCCUGCCUCCAGGUUCCUGCCCUGCAUGAGUUCCUGUCUUGAAUUCCUCCAAAGAUGAACUGUGAUCUGAAAGUGCAAGCCAAAUAAACUCUUUCCUCCC
rnacentral:lncRNA from 1 species